CUGAAGAUCCAGAUUUUGGUGCUCUCUGUCCAGUCGGAGGCUGGAGCACUCAGGAAAAGCACUGGGAUGAUUGCUCACCUUGGCAUUUUUUGCCAGUGCUUUUCCCUCCAGGUCACUUAGCAGCUACUUGGGCUCUCCCAUAUCCAUGCCUUGAGCUUAGCCUCCAAGUUUAAGAAACAACAAGAGCUACAUCGUCUUAAGGUGAAGUUACUAACUAUAGUCAAGUUGUUUUUGUCAUUUCCUCCUAUCUUUUAGCUACUAUAAGGUACCACAAGGAAGUCCUCAGGGCUGGAAGACAUAUUGGGAGAAUGGAAAAUAAACGAGCCAAACAAACUUUGGAGAAGCAGUUGAUUGGAGAGGAUAUGACAGUGUCUUAAAGAAAGAGGAAGAGCAUGAUGAAGUAAAAUGAAUAUACAAUUUCUUCCACAGUGCAGAUCGUAUCUUAAUAGAGAUAUUAGUUAUGACUUUCCACUGACUUAGGUGAGUAUAACGGUGUACACACUGUGAUGGAUCUUGCAUGGAAUUGUGAUUAUUUCUGCCCUUUGAUGAAAUGGAACCUAAUUUUCUGGGCCCAGGGAAUGGGCCUAACAUCCUAUUUGCUGUCCUGUUGUUUAACUGCAGAAGAGGGAACUUUGUGACUCUUGUAUCGUACUGCCAUUAAAAAUCUCAUUUCUCAUAAAAGUGACUCAACAACUUUUGGUUGGAAAUGGCCAGAAUUAACCAGAAAAGGGUAAAUACUUCAACCAAAUUCUCUCCAAGGUACUUUUUUUUGGAAAUGGUUGUCUUAAUGCUGUAGUGAUGGUAUAAUAAUUACAGAACUACUGUUUUGUGGAUGGCUGUUAAUUCUCCUAAGCACAGUGUUGUCCUUCUUAGACAAUUUUUUUCUCAGUCUAUUUUGUCUAGUUUAGCCCUUUACAUCUCACAGAAUUUAAAAACCACAGCUCUGAAAUAGACGUUGUGUAGCUUCCAUUUGCUGAGUACUUGUACUUUUUUGCUUAGAUAUAAAACAUAAUUUUUCACAGUAUCAUUUUAGAUAGUAAGAUACACAGUUUGUGUUAAAGUUAGUUGUGGUAGGUCAGGAAUAUGAAAUAUAACUUAGUUAGCUAAUUAGAUAGCUGUAAAUGAAGGAUAGUUCACGAUUACGGUACUCCCACAAUCUGCCAGCCCAGAGCACAAGAAAAACUCAGAUUUGAAAUACUGGGAGAGCUUAAGAUCUCUGCACUCAAUUGAAAGUUUCUAAAUUAAAAUUGAAAGUUUCUCUUCAGGACUAAGGAGACUGAAAUCGAAUCUUCCCUUGAUGAUAAAGUAUUGUUUUUCUUUUGUUAGGGGAAUUUGUGAGAAAUUAAUAUUAUUACCUUUCCCAACCUACCCUCUAAAAUACACAUUUAUAUGAAGAGUUGCCUCUGCUCAGCUAUCCUCUGUGAUGCUCAAGUAGCUCUGUUAUUCCUGUGUCUUGUAAUAUAGAACAAAUGUGGUUCUUCUUACAUCCAGCAGCACUCUUGGGGAAUGUACCACCUAUGGCAGGCCUAGCUAAAGCAGCUUCUUAUGAAAACAGAUGGUGUCAAUUGUUUCUGUAAGACAAAAGAUUAAAAGAACAUGUCUGUCUUAGUUAAAUUAUAUUCCAAAACUCUUACCCAACUGAGCAUAGACAAUCUCUGUAACAGAGACAUCAGAAUGACUGUGACCCAAAAUCAUGUUACACUUCAGUAGCAGGGCUCUCGAAGAGAUACCUUUUGAAAUGGAGCAUUGUGUAAGACCAGAUGGUUGGCCUGAUUUUCUAUUGUUCCUCUUGGCUCUCUGCUGAUAUGUAGAUUUCUAUAUUGCUUUAUAUAUUCUUACAGCUCUGCCAAGUAUUUACAUUCAGAUAGCUCAGAUGAAGAAAAGGCCAAACAUAAAGAAGCUACAGAAAAAAUGUUUGCCUCUGAAGUGUGUGUGUGCACGCAUGUGUGAAUCCUUGUGUGAUAUUAGAGGUAUACUAAGUAGGUAUUAAUCUUGUUUUCUCUCUCUUUUUUUUUUCUUUUCCAUUUUACAUGAAAGCUGCCACAAUUGGGAUAAGAGUGAAAUGAACAUAAGUAUGAUAAAUGAUAAAGUGCUCCUGGGAGUAAAUAUACCACUCAGAAAGAGCAUUGCUAAUCAAGCAUUGCAGCCAGCUAAUGCACUCUGAGAGCAAGCACCUCAAAAAGAUUCUAAAUUUGAAACAUUGAAGACUGGCAUUUAGCUUGAGUAGUUUCUGGUUUAAGAUGAAACUACUUCACCAGGGGAUCACAAUAGCAUAACAAAAUCUUGGAAUGGGCAGAGGCUUGAUGCCUUGUAUUAAAUGACCAAUGAGACAGAGGAAAAAAAGAGAGCUAAAAGCCAAAUUUUCUACUGGAUUUGUACGAACUGAUUGUUUGAGCAGUGAAUAGAAUUAGGGAAGGAUUAGAAAAAAAUCUGGUCCUUUUAGAUUCGUAAUAGAUGUAUAACUGUCGGUGUCCACUGAGGUGAUUGAGGUGUUGCAUUGUUACAACAGUAUAUUUGAAAGAUGCUUGUGAAUGCCUUCAUAAGAUUUUGGUAGCUGAAAUGCCAAAAGGACUGGCCUGGCAUUCUGAAUGCAUUGCUUUUAGAGAAAGCAACAUAUGUUCCACUUGUGAAUUUCAUCUGCCACCCACUCUUCAGAAGUGUAACACUGCCCACACAUCUUGCCUGAAUGACUUGGAAAAUAUAUUUUUAUUUGCAAAUGAUACUCAAAGUCAGAACUAUCGAAGCUGCAAUGGGUCAAGAAAAUAACCCAGAAGAGCUUCUCUUUUAAAAAAGCAGGAUGAAAGUGCUCUUUGUAUGAGAGAACUGGAUUAACUCUAGAAUGUAUUUGGGGUGAACAUUAGCAAAGUAUUUUAAAUUAUCUACCUAAAAAACUUUGUAGGUACACCAUGCAUUUGUCUGUGUUUACAAAAUUCCACAUAAGUAGUUGCAAAUAUGAAUUCGCUUAACUUCAGAAAAUGUUUUCAUUUUGUACUAUGUUUAUUCAUCUUCACUUACACUUGUGAAUUAGCUGUUCAAUAACUCCAGCAACAUGGGUGACCUUCCUUGUGUCUUAUCUAAUCCUACCAUAUGAUAUGGAAGGAAACAGAAUUGCCUGCAGCAGUCAAGAUGUGGAGGCACUGGGUCAAGAUUAUGAUGUAUUCUGUUUUAAUCUGUAUUCCUUUCUCAGUCAUUCCUGAUGUUUAAGUUUGCAUUCUGACCAGCUCUGAUCACUGAGCUGACAUAUUGCUGAGCAAACAUAGUAACUUCAAGAUCUCCUUCUGUAAUAGUAAUUGCCAUUGUCAUGUAUAUAGUUAUCACUAUUUUUACAAUGUGCAUUAUUUUGCAUUUGUUAACUUCUUGUUUCAUCUAACAUUUCAUUGCACAGUCAUUUAGUAUCGUGAGAUCUUCCUACAGUCAGUUUUGAUUUUGACAGCUCCAGAUGUUCGAAAGGAUGAAUCAGGCCUCAGGAAAUCAUUAGAUUGCCUUUAAAAUUAUUGAUUUUGAUGAUUUUUACUAUCUUCUCCUUAAUGCAAACUUUAAUGCUUUUCUCUGAAGCAACCAGAGCUAAAAACACUAUUGCUUUUUAAUAAAAUUUUAUAUUCUCUAAUAAUCCUUUGAUUUGGGGAUUUGGUGUUUUAAGAAAUGUACCAAGUAUUCUCAGAUCUAUGCAAAAAUGUCAGGUGUUGGCAACAUUGCUCAGAUUUUCAUUUCAUGCCUCCCUAGGGUACAGAGGGCUGAGCAGUAGCAGAGAACACAACUGAACAUGAUCAUGUUACAGUCGCACUGUGAGUUACCAUAACUGAGCUAACUGGACACAUUCUCUUUGGAAGUCUUCUCUUCAAGUAUACACACCUUAGAGAGACAAGUUGCUUCCAAACUGGAACCAGAAAUUAACCUCAUGUGGACUGAGACUCAUCCACAGGAGCAAGUCUAAAUGUCUUUUCCAGCUCAUCUUCAGGGUGAUACAUGGCACUGAGUGUCUGUAGCGGGCGAUUUCAUGCUUGUCUCCUGAUGACACCCUAGUGCAUCAUAGUGCUCACAAUCCUGGGAGGCAGGCACAGCUUGGUCACCUGUACUGUCAGAUCCUCUCUCUUCCUUCUCUGUCUUCAUGCGGUAGAAGAUCCCGUAACUACAUGGAUGGGGCACCAUUAAACCUCUUUUUACAUUUCUGAAGUGAAACAGACUAACCAGGAUCCUAGUAAAUGGAGUAAUCUUCCAAUUUGUGAGGACUUUCUGCAAUGAAAAAUUAUUAAAUCUGCUUUCCUUAGGAACAGCUUUAAAGGGGAAUUCUUAUUAGAAACUAGAUAAUUUCAUAGCAGUCUCAGUAUUACUGAUUAUAUUUUGAACACUUAAAAGUAGAAAAAAAACAAGAGAAACUGUAUUUUUUGAGUCUGUGUAUCAAAGUUAACAGUAAAAGUGGCUCAUUUUGAAAUUCUAGAUUUAUUUUUACUGUUUUCUUGAAGGAGCUGCAGUAGUACAUGAGCUGUAGAUCUAGGCAUACUCAGUAAGUUCAUUCCUUCUAUACCUCUAAUUAUGAAAAUCUUUACAAUAUUUUCUAUUUACAGGAAGAUCUGUUAAGUUGGAGCACAUUGACAUUUUCCAACAGCGUCACUCGCUUAAGUACAGUUGAGAAGGUUGCUGCAUGCUCAAUUACUUCACAUACUAUAGGCUGUUAGUAAGCAGGACCAGGAUCUGGCAGCCUAUAGCUCGGUAUUAACUUAGUUUGUGUUAUAGCCAAUUGCUGUCUGACCUCUCCACACUGCAGAGGAAAUGCAAUGCCAUCUGUAUAUCUCUUAGUCACAUUAAAUUAUGUCAUUUAUAUUACAUUGGAAUGCAGAGUUUACUUUAUGUUUUGCAGUAAAAAUAGCAGAAGUAACAAGAUAUAAGCAGAAGCACAUAGGUGGAAGUUUGUGGGCCCCUACUCUCUCUGGCUUGCUUUGAUUCCACCAGGUGUUGAAUUUAGGAAGAGAGGGAAGUUGUUUACAUCUGUGAAGGUGCUAGCAAGCAUAAAUGUUUAUGGGGCUUAAAAACCCUCUGAUGUCAGACAUCUAUGUAUUUGAUCUUACAGGAUAAGGUCUUUACUGUUAAUAAAUAACACCCUUAAAAAUUUGAGGAGGAGGAGGAGAGGAAAGCUCAUUGAAAAUAGAAAAUUGACAUAAAAUUGCCACUAUAUUAAGGUAUUAAACAAGAAAUUGUGUAAUUAAAAAACAACUUCAAGUUAGUACUUCCUGAUAAACAAUUACGCAUACAUCGCUGUUUUUAUCAGUCUCGAUGACUGUAUCAAGCUUGUACUCUGUCAUUAUGGUCCUAGAGAUUUUUUACUAGAAGAGCCCAAAAGAAACCAGGAUUUCUCUCCAAGGAGCCUGUUUCAGAUGCCCUGGGAGCAGAGAGAAAAACUGUUGCAGAUUUAAGUAGAUCUGGGCCCUACAUACAAUUUUUCUGUCUUUAAUUUCCACAACUGCAUCUUUCUCUCAGUAUACUCCUAUGGAUCCACUACCUGCUGCUCGAAUAAAAUAUUACUCUGCCCAGAAUAUGAGUUACAUUCUACAUGGAAUAGCUUCCAGAAGAUACCACUUUUUUUACUGUAGUUUUGCGUAAAAUGGAAAGGCAAUAAGACUGUCAGUUAUUUGGUACAGCCCAUGCAGGCUGAAACAGGAUCCAGCUGCUCUUUGGACAUUUAUUGCUUCAGUCCUUCCCUGUUAAAUGUCCACUGUCAUUUUGGUUUUAUGUGAAAACCUUCAUUCAAAAAUAUGAUCACAGACAAGAAGGACUUAAAAAGUUUUCUAUGUGCUAGCUGAUAUAAAACUAGACUAUUGCUGGCUUGACAGGCUUACAGAAAUUUUCAUUGUUAAUUUAAGUCCAAAGGACGUCAGAAAUAUUUGUAAAUUGUGACAAUUUAUAUGAAUCUUUGACAUAACUCAUCCUAUAUUUUGUUUUAUAAACAUUCAGAACCUAUUCACAAGGAAACAGGAUGUGCACUGUCUGAGGAGCUUUCUACUCUUUCCUUAAAAGGAUCUGCUACGUGCAAGUUGUACAGAGCUGUUGUAUAUCACUUUGGUCUUAAAAAAAAAUGUGUGUACAUAGAAAGGCCAAGGAUGAAAUCCUUGAAUUCAAUAGAAGAAGUUUUAUUGGUUUAAUUGGAACAAAGAUUUCACCUCAAAUCCUCAAACAUUGAAAACUAGCGUAACUUUAUUAAAGAUGAUGAAUUAAGCUGAAGGGUGCUCUAGUUGCAUUAAAGCUGAAGAUCUGGCCCCCAGAAUGCAUGUAUUCUUGGAGUAAGAAAGCAAUCAAGAGGAAAUAUAUCAGAAGACAAGUAAAUGAUGCAAAUUUGUUUUGCGAGUUUAACCCUGGGCUAAAGAACAGAGCAAGGCCUGUGCUAUAGUCCUCUGCUACUCAUUUGUACAGGAGUGACUGUCAUUUUAAAUGAAAUACAAUUAGGUAAACUUGUGUUCGUGUCAGAUUUACAUCCUCAUUUGCAAUACAUUAACAAAUAAAAUGAAAAUAUAUUUGUACACGUUAUAUAAGCUGAUCUGAAAUCCUGAUGUAUGCACCCACAGUUUUAUAAAUUGUAAUUGUAAAUCAAUGUAAAUUGCUUGGUCAGAACAUUCAUGCCUUACCAUCAUAGAAAUUAGAUACAGAAAAGACUAUUCAUUUAUCUAGUCCAUCUUUAUGCCAGUGAAGAAUUAGUCCUGUUCAUUGUAAUCUUUUCUAGUGUGUUGUCCAGAGUAAUUCUGAAAGAUUCCAAGAUAAGGAUUUUUCUAUUUCCCUGUCAGAUACAGAUUUUAUUUCUUUACUUUUUCAUAAUUUAAGCUGAGGGAGGUGGUAGAGUUUCGGGCCCCAACACUCAGAGGUACUGGCAGCAAACAUCACCAAAGCCCUAUCCCAUUCAAGAACAGAAAAGAACAGUACAAUUAGCACAUAAAAAUAGAGAGAGAGACUGUGAGGCAUGUAAUCAGUGUACUUCUUUCCUUCCAUGCCUAGAGCCUGAUGAGAAAUCCUUUGCUACUGCUUUCAAAAAUUGGCUUAUUUCCAUUUCAGAAUAUGAGAAGCAAAGAGUUUAAUAAACAGGUGCUAAAGUAAGGUGAAACCCAUAGUUACGAAAUGGAGGUAUUAUUGUCUUGAUUGAGGCUCUUAACAUUAAGGGCGUACUUAGUUAAGUUUUAUCUCUCUUUCAUUUGCACAGAAUCCAUUUCCCAGCUCCGGAUGUAUGGGAGAUUAUAUAUAGAGAUCUGACACCCAUCUCUAUUUGGCUGUUGAAUCUUGGCAACUGAGUCCAUUAACCCCAUAGCAUCGUGUUCUCCUGGAGUCUGCUUGAGAGCUGUAUGCCAUUAGAGGCAGCAGAGUUUACAAGAAAGUGAGCGAAGAGUGAGACAAACAGGUUCCACAGUUGUUGCUGACACUGACCACACAGAGGCUUUGUCCAGUCAUCUGUUUCAGUGCAACAGGAAGUUUUGCUUGUUACACAGCACAAAUCAGGAAUAACUUCAAUGAAGACUGUGGAAUUAAACUGAUAAGAUGCAGUGACAGCCAGAAAGCCUCUGAUCAAAAAGGGGUGGAAGAUUUUCCUGUGCCAAGAAGUCCCUGGCCCUUCAGCAGAAAAGCACCGAAAAAGCAGAAUUAAGAAAGAGAGAGCAUUUUCAAGUGGCUGACACCAGUGUGGUGGUGACUGGACUGCGAUCUAGCAGGUUUACAUGUUGUAGCAUGGGCUGCCACCCACCAGCUCAGGCUGCCUUGAACAGCUCCAGGGAUGGGACAUAUUGGUCUCCUCAGAAUUGCCUUCUGACCUUUUUCUCCUGCCUGCCUCCCCAGGCUACUCAGCAGCACAUGGGCUGGGUUUCCAGGCUUUGUUACUCCUUGGUGCCUUUUUGGACAACUAACAAAGAUGCCCCACACCUCUACGUUCAUUGGUUCCCGGUUUUUAACUCCUGGAGUCAUGGAGAAUAUACUAAGAGAAAUACAGUUUCAGAAUCUGCAUGACAAAUCAAAGGUUUCUGCAUGACAGGAAUUGUAGUUCUUUGAUCUGAGGUACUGAUACUGCUUUGUUCAUUUACAUCAGUAGAAAAUUCAGCCCUUUUUUUUUUCCUGUUCUGUGCAUACUCCUUAACCUCAAAUAAUAAUAAAUAAUAUUUUAAAAAGUAAGACGAAUUAGCGUCUUAUUUAUAGCCAAGUCAAUUGAAGGGGUUUCAACUAAUAAUGUGAAUCACAUAAUUUAAAAUAAAUAAAUAAAAGAGAUAUAGGCAGAAAAGCAGCCAACCAUAUGUUUUCACCAUAUGCUGAAGCAUACUUACUGUCCCUUGUAUCCUGUAUUCCCUGUGAAAAUUAUGUAUACGUAUUCACUGAUGGGAAAAAAAAAAAAGAAAACCUCCAUGAAAUCACUUUAAAGCUACAAGAUCAAGUAGUCUGUAUUUGGACUCCGUGAAAAUUCAUGAAGUCAUAAUUUCUCUAAUAAAUGGAUAUUGUGAAGAUAUGGUUUUUAUGUGCUUGAUCACACUGUUUUUUGCUUGGAAGUUCUCCCUCAUUCACUGGAGAUGAUGUAUGGUAGUCAGUAAAAGAGUAUGAAUAUUCACGUGUAGGCACUGAUCCGUAUCCUAAAGAUGUGUCUUACAUACCAUCUCAUCUGUUCUUCAGUGGAGAGGUAGUUCUGAAUUUCUUUGUGUUUGUACCUGAUAUCCUUUAGAUUAGAUGAGGGUUAUAGGUAUUCCCAGGAAGAAGACCACUUAUUGUCAUGGCUCUAAGGUCUGAGCUUGACUUUUGCUGCUUUAUUGAUGGAAAUUAAACAGAGGUACCAAGCAGUGUUCACAUACCAGUAGAACUGGCUGAAAACAUUCAAUUUUUUUUCAUUGAAAAGCAGUUGUUGCUUGAAAAUAAAUAAAUAUUCAUCACAUUCCCUUUUACUUCAGAAAAAAUAUUCUUUAAAUUGAAUUUUACAUUAGCAAAACCUGAGGUAAACUUUUCAUUCCAGCUAAGGUAAAAGCACUCCAAACAUGUACCAAUAUGCUAGAAGUCUCAGUACUGGCAGCAUAAAAGCCAGUGCAAGCUCUUUGCUGGAGCCCAUUUUGCCACAGGAUGCUGCCCCUGGCACUGAAGCUGUCACACAUCCACUGCAGUGGGCAGAGGGUAGUGCAGUCCAGCCAAAGACACCAGGAGUGCAUGGUCCCAAACUCAGCAGGAGCAGUGAGUUGCUACCUCUUCUCGAGGCAAGAGCUUAGGAGGUGACCAGACUUAACCCUAUCUGUGAUCGCAACAUUGGUAGUGGCUGUGGUCUAGACAUGGCUUACUUCAAUGACCUUUCUAUUGCAAUGCAAAUGCAAGAUCCUAUUUCUCAUAUGCUUAGCUGAUUGGUUCCAUACCAUAAUUCACUGAGGCAGGACUGAGAAAAUCUGUGCAGGUCAGAUAAAAGUAGAAAUUGCUUGUCAUUGUAAAAUAGGAGAGAGAGUGACAAGGAACAGAAAUUUUCUGUAUCUUGAAACAAACAGAAUGGAGUUGAAAUUUGAACAGAUGAGUUGUGUUUUUAUAUUCAUAUUUUCUGUGUAUCCAUAACAAUCCCAGGAGGCUUCAAAUCAACAUUUUGAAAUCUUUUUGAUAAAUGCAUUCACAUUCUUAUCAAAAUUGACUUGUGUUUGGAUUUCUCAACUUAUACUUCAAUUAGCAUUUGAACCCAACACGUUAAGUAUAUGAUAUGGUGAUGUCUCCAGUGCAUAUAUUUCAUCUGAAUGUUUCAAACCAUUACUACUGCUACUGGCACAUGCUAUUUCACUUCUAGGGGUUUUCAAGAGCUGAUUUUAUGAUCAUUUGGCUUAUACAGCAAAUGUAUUUUUUUCUAUAAUCUUCUUUCUAACUCUCAUUUAUGUCUUUUCAGAAAUACAGAAAACAAUUAAGAGUAUGUCAGUGCUGAAGAUACUGAAGUCUUAGGUUGAAACCUAAAGUGGAACCUGUCUUUCAGUGAAUAACAGGUCAAAGGAGUUAAUGGCUAAUGUGUGACUUAGAGCUAAUUUUGAGGAAAGAAUAUGGAGUGAUGCUGCUAUUAUUUAAUAUUUUUUCUCUCUUUUUUUUUUGAUCAUGCCUUAUGCAGAACUUAGAAGUUAUUUACUAGGAAGACAAAUGGAAAAGAAAAUAAAUCAAGAGGUGAUAUAUCCAGUCCGAUUACUGUGCCUGAUAUGAAAUUAUAUACACAUAGCAUUGAAUUCUUAAAAAAAUGAUGACCUUCAUGUCGUUACAUCUAGUAUUUUAAAUCCAAAAACAUAGGAUUUUUUCCCAGUCUUUUCCGACUUUUGAAAAUAAAAGAUCCACUACCAUUUCUGCCUCUAGCACUAUGAAGAAUACAGCAAACUUAAAAGAUGGAGACUGUUAAAGGCAGAUGAGAUCAGGCCCCCAUGUAACAGAGACAGAAAAUCUAGAAGUUUGUCACGUUCCUCUGAACAGAAGUUGGUCACAAUGAGAGACAACGUGCUCAAUUUUGGGCUCUGGUGUAGCUCUCAUUGUGCUGGCUCAGCUGCUGGAAAGGAGCCACAGGGUUAGAUUGAUCGCCCCAUGUGGGAUACACCUCUCAAGAAGGAUGCUGCAUAUGUUUGGCACAAUGACCCUGAACUAUUCCCUUGAUUGAGACAGAGGGAGGAAGCAGAGAACUCCACUAUUCUGGCUUAUCAGAAGUCAUUCAAAACCACAGUAAAUUAGAGAAGCCUUUCUGAGGUGAGUUAAUUUAUACUGGAAUGGGGAAAGAUGUGGACCUAGCAUCCAGGAGAUGUAAAAAAUGACUUUCUCUGCUCCCUCUCCCUUAGUCCUGGGCUGCGUCACCACAGAUAAACCAUUUUAUAACUAUGAGGCUGCCAUAUGAGGAAAACUAUGACUAUCCAUUAGGUUCAAAGGACAGUGGGCUUGCGCCAUAUUAUACCUUCCAUCUGUCCUGUGAAACUACAGGUCAUUUCCUCUGCAUUCCCCUGAGCAAUUCACUCUGUGAAGAGAGUUACCCAUCUCUAUAGUGCACUUUGAGAUCUGUGGUUGAAAAGGACCUACAUGAGUUAUAAAUUGCUGUUUCUUUCUGUCCCUUGCAGUGCAAGUUAAGCUCUGUAUGUAGAAUUCAAGCAGCUCCUUGCUUUUCAAAGAAGAGCGGGGCUGAGAGGAAGAAGGUAGCAAUGGAUUAGAAUUUAGGAGAACUUUGCUUUGCCACAGGCUCGCUGUGUGUCUUUCAGAUUUUUAUCUCCUUGUAUUUCAGUUCUCCAUAUGUAAACUAAAGAUAAUAAUACUCCAAUUGGCUUGAUCUUUGUCCUAUUUAUCUACUUUAGAAACUUCCUGGGGGCAGUGAUCAUCUCUUAGUAUGUAUAGCACCUACACCAGAGAAGUUCAGAUAUCGUAUGGGGCCUCUAUGUGCUGUUAUAAAACUUCUAUUAAACAAUUAAGUUAUGGCAGGCACUGCCAAAUGAUCCUGCCUCCUUAGACUUCUAAAAAAAAUUUUUGGGGUACCAGCAAGGUUUAUGCUUGGUGUUAUUCUUGACUAGACUGAAUUGUUAAGGCAGAAUUGCUUCUGGAGAAUUGUUGAGUGUUGUGGGGGGAGAUUCUAACCCUUUUGUCAUGGUUUUAUGAUUUUCGGUUAUUGGUACUCCACAUCAUAACAUCAUGUAGUGAAUGUACCUGGUUCUCAGAAGAGAGGGACUACCAC